AUACGUAGGGAGCGAGCGUUGUCCGGAAUUACUGGGUGUAAAGGGUGCGUAGGCGGGACUGCAAGUCAGAUGUGAAAUGCCGGGGCUCAACCCCGGAGCUGCAUUUGAAACUGUGGUUCUUGAGUGAGGUAGAGGUAAGCGGAAUUCCUAGUGUAGCGGUGAAAUGCGUAGAUAUUAGGAGGAACAUCGGUGGCGAAGGCGGCUUACUGGGCCUUUACUGACGCUGAGGCACGAAAGCGUGGGGAGCAAACAGGAUUAGAUACCCUGGUAGUCCACGCUGUAAACGAUGAUUACUAGGUGUGGGGGGACUGACCCCUUCCGUGCCGCAGUUAACACAAUAAGUAAUCCACCUGGGGAGUACGGCCGCAAGGUUGAAACUCAAAUGAAUUGGCGGGG
rnacentral:rRNA from 1 species